GUAACUACUCUUUGUCCACCCAAUUAAAGCUAAGGUAAGCUUCCUUACUUCUUUAAAUAUUUUGAGCGGUAUAGGCUAAAUUGUAUAGUUCCAUUAAUAUGGAGUGUGGUGGAAAGAAAAUGGUUCUCAAGCCUAUACGAACAUCAAAGAAAUUUGAUGACGAUGAUGAAGAAGAAGAAGCAGUAUUAUUGAGUCCAGGUUCUCGAAUGUUCCAUGAACCUAAUUUCAAUAUUCAUAUUGUAGCAAUCAUGGGUUGGAAAAUACCACUUGACAUUGACUCCCUCAAAGCCCAAUUACUAAGCAAGUUGCUUAAACACCCGCGCUUCUCCAGUUUGCAGGUUAUGGAUGAGAGUGGAGAAAUGAGAUGGAUUCCGACAAUAGUGAAUGUAGAUGAUCAUGUCAUAGUACCCCAGCUGGAUGUUACUAAUAAUAUGGACACAGAUAAGUUGGUCGAACAGUAUAUAUCAAACCUAAGCACGACAAAUAUUGACAUAUCGAAACCUCUAUGGGAUUAUCACAUACUUAACGUGAAAACAUCCCAUGCUGAGGCAACUUCUGUUUUCCGUUUUCACCAUUCUCUUGGAGAUGGAAUUGCCCUUAUGUCCCUCUUACUCUCUUGUUCUAGAAAACCAUCGGAUCCUACUUCUUUGCCUACACUUCCAGUUUCUUAUUCGAAGGAGAAGAAAUCAAAUAGCAGUAAUAGAACAAAUAUUAGGUCCUUGCUAUGGCAGUACAUGGUAAAGUUGUGGCUGUUCAUCAGGCUUUUGUUCAAUACAGUUGUUGAUGUUUUGCUUUUUGGCGCGACUGCUCUAUUCUUGAAGGAUUCCCAAUCACCUUUUACAGUUGCAAAAGGAUUUAACAACAAGCACUCUACUCGCCAGAGAUUUGUUUAUCGGACUCUUAGUUUGGACGAUAUUAAAUUUAUUUAUAAAAAAUGCCACAAACGCAACUAUUAACGAUGUUAUUUUGGGAAUCACACAAGCGGCUUUGUCUCGUUAUAUCCACCGAAAAUACGAUGUUGAAGGCAAGAUGAAAGAACAAAUGAGAUGCAGAGCCACUGUUCUAGUGAAUCUGAGACCAGCUUUGGGAGUUCAAGCCUAGCAGAAAUGAUUGAGAAGAAUGCGAUAGUAAUACAAGGAAAUUGCUUUGGGUUUGUGCUAAUUCCUUUAGAUAUAGCUCAAUUACAAAAUCCUCUUGAUUAUGUUCACAAAGCUAAGAUAUCAAUGGAUCGGAAAAAGCGUUCUCUUGAGGCUCAAUGCACCUUUUACAUUUUGCAGCUUUUCCUUAACUUGUUUGGCUUUAGGGUAUUCCAGAUUUUAUUUCCCCCCUCUUUACACCUUACCUGUCAUUGGAUCAAAUAGAAAUGUAACAUAUCUUUUUGUUAUGUUUAAAUUUGCAUCGGCAUGACACCUAGGGUGCAGCAAAACUUGCUAAAAGAGUUCCAUCUCAAACAACACUAUCCUUUUCAAACGUAGCUGGUCCAAUUGAAGAAGUUUCUUGGUCAGGCCAUCCAUUGGCAUUCCUUGCCCCUACAUGCUAUGGACAGCCCACUGGGCUAAUGGUUCAUGCGUGUAGCUAUGCGAAGAAGUUAACAUUUGCGAUAACAGUUGAUGAAGGAAUGAUUUCAGAUCCUAACCAGCUUGGCGAUGAUUUUGUCGAUUCAUUUUUAAGCAUCAACGAGGCUGCUCGUUCAAAAUUUAGAACCAAACUUCAUUAGCUCAUUACACUUUGACGAGUACACUUAUGAUAUCUAAUUAUUUGCUAAAAAAUUUUACUUAUAGUAUACAUUGUCUUUACAUUUUAAUGAAGUAGAAAUGUAGAAUUAUUAUGCUUGUGUUUCUACCAAUUUUAUGGUCAAUAAUAACAUCA